rnacentral:pre_miRNA from 1 species
UAUUAAAAAUUCAUUUAUUUUUAUCAUUAAAAACUAACGAGAGUGACAAAAUAACUCAAUGGUUACACGUGGUGUGUCAUGUGUAUCUCAUUCUAAUCUAUGGAAAUUAGUUUUUAACCGUAUAAAUAGAUAAAAUUUUUAACA